UACGGAGGGUGCAAGCGUUGUUCGGAUUUAUUGGGCGUAAAGCGCGUGUAGGCGGUUUCUUAAGUCUGAUGUGAAAGCCCUGGGCUCAACCCAGGAAGUGCAUUGGAUACUGGGAGACUUGAAUACGGGAGAGGGUAGUGGAAUUCCUAGUGUAGGAGUGAAAUCCGUAGAUAUUAGGAGGAACACCGGGUGGCGAAGGCGGCUA
rnacentral:rRNA from 1 species